GGGAGCAACCUGAAGAAUGUAAUCCGGGCCUUUCGUCUGUCCGACCACAACCCGAGACGGACAGAUCCAGCAACACGAGCUGCGCAGGAUACUGGAGAACUACUCCUUUCCCUUAACACAGAGAGACUAGCAGAGACUGUGGACCCACUAAAGCCCUAACGACAUGGCAACAAUGUCCUACAAAGUGUUCCUGGAGAAGCUGGGCCUGGAAUCUAACAAGUACAGGACGUUUGUCCCGGAGCCUCCAAAGCUAGCGUUGGGCUGGCAAGGAAUUAGUCCUCCAGACAAGACAAAACAGAGGAACAGAGCAGCGUCCCAGAAUGCAACAGGAGAUACACAGCAGAUCCAAGGCCUUACUCAAGACGAGCUGCAGACGCUCUUCCUGAAAAAAGGAUAGGGAGGAUCACCAGGGCAGACCUUCAUCAGGCUUUGGAAGUCCCCCAGUAUAACCUGAGGGGUCCCCAGGGCUCCUGGUCCAGCCGCAGGGAGCCCCACACCCCCAGGCCUCGUCUGAGCCCAGCCCAGGUCAGAUCCUCCUGAUCCUGCUGGACCCAGAGCACACUGGGGUCAUCACCCAGCCCAGCCUGAAGCUGCUCAACCCCAGGAGGGUGCACUCUGCCCCAGGGAGGGAGGCAUUACACACCCCUACUGGAGGAUGGAAGGAGGAGGUCAUGGAGGAUGUGGCUCAGACUGAACUCCCAAUCCCAGAAUGCCUUGGUGAACAACAGGCCAGUGCAUUCCCCCAGCACCACUUUGGGGGUCCAAGUGUUCGCACGGUGGAGAACAUUAUGUUCAGGAAGCUCAAAGAGAGGCUGGACCACAGACACGUUACCCACGACGACCAUAUCCGGGCAACGGCCAGUAGCUCAGACGGAAUGCUGUCGUUGAGAGAUCUAAAGAAGGUCAGAAGGUCGAGACAGUCGUGUAUACUUGACCUCUACUUGACCCCUGCUGGACUUGAGCUCUGAUUGGAACUAAAUAAAAAGUAGAAAACUUUCAAGCUCUCAGGGCCUUGACCUUAGUGGUCCUUUAUGUGAGCCACAGUUUCUUUUUAUGAAGAUUAUGUCACCAUACAGUCAUUGUACAGUAUAUUUUCCAACACCUUUGUAUAAGACAUGCACCUUGCCCUAAUGUAGUUGUAAGAGGUGCGUAACUGGCUGCAGGGAAGUCAGGCGCAGGAGAGCAGAACUGGGUAAUAACCGGAGCAGUUUAAUGAGGCAAAACCAACGGCACCCAGAACAACAAAAUAUGGGUUGAAAUAACCACUUCGCAAACCAGUCUGAAGUGCACAUACACUUUACAACAAACAAUUCCAGACACAGA